CAGCCGCCACGGUAAUACAGAGGGUGCGAGCGUUAAUCGGAUUUACUGGGCGUAAAGCGUGCGUAGGCGGCUUCUUAAGUCGGAUGUGAAAUCCCUGAGCUUAACUUAGGAAUUGCAUUCGAUACUGGGAAGCUAGAGUAUGGGAGAGGAUGGUAGAAUUCCAGGUGUAGCGGUGAAAUGCGUAGAGAUCUGGAGGAAUACCGAUGGCGAAGUCAGCCAUCUGGCCUAAUACUGACGCUGAGGUACGAAAGCAUGGGGAGCAAACAGGAUUAGAUACCCCAGUAGUCCCUGUCUCUUAUAC
rnacentral:rRNA from 1 species